AUCAGAGGUAUCGAAGUAAAUAACGGGAUGAGAGAAGAGGUAAGAUAACAGAACCACCAUCAAAGGAAUGGAAAAGAAGAAUGUUCUCAGAAUUCAGCAAAAUUUCUUUUUAGGUGAAGAAUGGAAGGAGAUUUAGUAUGGAAUCAGAGGUAAUGAAGUAAAUAAUGGGAUGAGAGAAGAGGUAAGAUAACAGAACCACCAUCAAAGGAAUGGAAAAGAAGAAUGUUCUCAGAAUUCAGCAAAAUUUCUUUUUAGGUGAAGAAUGGAAGGAGAUUUAGUAUGGAAUCAGAGGUAAUGAAGUAAAUAAUGGGAUGAGAGAAGAGGUAAGAUAACAGAACCACCAUCAAAGGAAUGGAAAAGAAGAAUGUUCUCAGAAUUCAGCAAAAUUUCUUUUUAGGUAAUAUAAAAUUUAUUUAUAUUACUUGCAUCAUUAA
rnacentral:lncRNA from 1 species